CAUUACACGCUGCACCCGCACCUGCCCCUCCCGCCGACGCGCCUCACACCCCCCCACCUCCUGCCGCGCGCCUCCACCUUCUACCGCAGCCGCCGCCUCCACCUUUCGCCGCGGCUGACGCCCCCACCGCCCGCCGUGGCUGCCGCCCCCACCUCUCGCCGUAGCCGCCGCCCCAACCACCUGCCGGCCUCCUUCCGUCCCAUCCGGCCGCCCUCCGUCCCGCGCCACCUUCUUUCCUUCCUAGGGCGCUGGUCCGGAUGCCAGUCGUCGCUCCCGGAUCCCGGCGGCCUCCCGGCUCCCACCUCGCCUUGCCCCUGCUCCUCAACUCCGGCGUCCUCCCUCCAUCCUGCACCGCCCCUGGCCACCCUCCACUUCGCACCACCUCGCCACUAGCCUACCCUCCGUGCACUGCCCCUGUCCAUCCUCGCGCCACCGCGGCUUCCAGGCCGUUCACCGCCGACACCACAAUACGUUCACCGUUGACACACGAGGCCGUUCAACCACGCAAUGGUGUGGUCUGGCCUUUCCCCUUCCUCUUUUUAUGUAGCAUUUUCUGAAAAUAUCACACUUUCAACUGAAAAUAAAAAAUGAGUCAUGCAAGUUCAGAUAUAACUGCUUCAGGAGUUCAAAAAUCUGAACAAACGAAAGCUCAAAACAAAGACAAAGAAAUGUUUCCUUCAUAAGUUAGUUUUUUCUUUGGUUAAUUUCUUGUUAUGGACAGUACAGUGUAAAUUUUUGUGUAAAAGUUUAAACCACAAAAUCUGAAAAAAGUCCAUGCCUGUUGUUCAGGUAUAAGCCACAAAAAAAAGUUCAGAAAAUGUCGUACGAGCUAUUCUAUUUUCAGACAUAAGUUCAGGUAUAUUAUUUUUGAAUCAGAAUGAUUCCAGAGUUUUGAUUCAGAACUUGAACUAUUGUAAAGAUUGUAAAUUGAACUUUUUGUUCUUCUAAGUAUUGGCACUACAAAAUACAGACACACUCAGUUCAAUUAAUUAUUUUAGUUCCGUUCAAUUUCUUGUUUUAGUUCAGGUCAAUUAUUGUUUUAAGAUUCAGGUCGGUUCAAUUCUUGUUUUAAGCUUCAGUUCAGUCCAAGCUUCGGCAAAUGACGGCCGCGCCAAAUCUGUAGUGGCAACAGGAGGGUCAAGUCGCUGUGGUUGGAGGACGGGGCCCUGCUGCAGCUCCGCAUUAGAUACAAGCGCCGCAUUGAGCGGCUGCCCUCUACUGUGACAAACGAAUAGCUACUGUGAACAUCUGAAAAUAUGUAGAUCUGAAUUGCAAUCAAUACGAAAAGGUGUGUUCAACUCAUUCUGAAACUUUUAUAUAUAAAAAGCUCAUCCUGAAACUAGAGAUUUGUCUAGAGCCUUGAACAUGUAGCCCAUUCAAACGAAACUGCAAAAACUGUCCGAACAUGCACUGUAUUAUAAAAGAAUUGUUCAUCAAUGGAUUCUGAUAAAUUCACUAUUUUGCUUUCAGUGAGAAGUAACUCUACUAGGCGCAAGAACAAGAGACUAACUUGCAUGAGUACUCUUUUGUUUCAGCCAAUACUUCUUACUCUGAAUUCUAAAAGAAAAUCCCAGAUUUCAAUGAUAAAACUUGACCGGAGGUGAAGCGGCGAUCAAAUAGAAUAUAAACAAGCUUUUGAUUUUGUAUGGGGACUGGCCGAUUGCAGUUCACUGAGACGUUCGAUGUGGACAGGGGAGAACGCUCGAGCUACAGCAGCUCCCAGGCCGUUCACCGUCGGCACCAUAGUCCGUUCACCGCCGACACCAUAGGCCGUUCACCGACGCAACGAUGAGGCCUGGCCAUCGUCACCCACGACCGCGCACUCGCAUCUCUCCAGCUUCAAGUAGUGUCCUCCUCUAGCUGCAGGACGCGUUCUCCUCCAGCUGCAGGACAAUGCUAUGGUGCACAUUCAAGGCAGCAAGCACACCACAGGUCGCAGCGCCGCCGUCGACCACAUGUGCGCAUGCGUGCGAUUGAUGCGUGUGUGCCUUAGUUGAGAUCUCGAGAGACCGUAAGUUCAGUCAGCCUUGGCAUCACGAGCGGGUUCAGUUCGAUCUCGCACAGUGGGCAGGUCCCCGAUGGUGUGUGCGUCAGGUCUACUCGCACGAGUGGACGUCAGAUCACGCAAGUGGGCAGGUCCCCAAUGUACAUCUACUUGUACCUAAGCAGGGGAAAGCUAGAAGAGAGGGGGUAGACAUGGCGUCGGAGAUGGUGCUCAGGAGGAUCCAUUCCAUCUGCUGUCUCGCCGGCGACCACCGAGCGCAGCUGUUCGGCAGCAGGGAGGGGAUCCAUCAUUCUGCAGCAACGCAUAUGAGCAAGCCGGUGCGGGCAGCGCAAGCAAGGUACUAGGUGGUGGCAUUGCUUCACUUCUCUUGUUACAUUCUCUUCGCCCAAAUUCAGAGGAUCAAGAAAAUAAAAUAUCAUUGUUUUGACAUGCACUACUCAAAAGAAGGCAUUUUUGUUGAAAAAUUGUUUUGCUUGACAUGUACUUGCCAACAAUUAUGUAUAAUAAAUCAUGGCAUUGUGUGUAGAAAAAGAUAUAUUGUGUGUUAUGUUGUUGUAUUGAGUUGCUAUCUAUUGCUAAUUGUAUGAUGUUGCUAUU